AUGCUCGUACUUUCUGUAUGGAGCCGGGAACGAUUGUCGAUUGGACGCCCGAAGCAGGUGAAGUACGAGCAAUGGGAUGACAAACACGACGCACUACGGCUCCCCACUUGGGCUUACAAGUGGGAUGUGUUAAAUGAGACGAUGGACGAUCCCUCACUCAUUUAUAAGCAGUACACGAGCGAGUUGGACAUGAUUACAGCUGAGCAGGUGACUUGA
rnacentral:rRNA from 1 species